rnacentral:tRNA from 1 species
GCCUGGGUGGCUCAGCUGGUUGAGCGUCUGACUUCGACUCAGGUCAUGAUCUCAUGGUUGGUGGGUUCAAGCUCCAUAUUGGGCU